AUUUAUGAGAAACAAUUAUAAAAAACUAAUAUCGACUAAUAAGAGUAAUAGUAACGACAUGGAAUACGGUUAUGAGAUAUACAUGUAUCAUCUCAACAGCUCAUAGUGUUUCAUCAUGAUAUCACACACACGCAUCAAUCAAAUUAUCCCAUGCUAAAUAUAUGAUAAGUGUUGUGGUUGAGGAAUGAGUGUGCGUAUUUAUCAUUUGCAUUUUUUCUCAAGCAUCCAGCCAUGUUUGAUUCGCAGUGACAAACACUGGUUUCGUUAGACCAGAUUGUUUUACUUGAUUUGUUUGUGCUCAGUUUUUAUUUAAUGAAGUUUCCAUGCAUGCGUAAAACUUGAAGAUUAACCAUCUAUGGAAAUAAGAGAUGCAUGCUCGGUGUGCCGUCUUUGCAAUAAUGUUGGCCAUGGCUGAUUUAAUAGCGACAUUAAUUCUUCUGGAAAUUUGUUUGGCUUGCGGCGGUCCCGGCGGUCCGGCAGGCUAUAUAGCUGCACACUAAAAAAAUUCUACCAAGUACUUAUGCUAACAAAUGUUAAUUACUUUUUCAAUAUCCAUUAGUUUUUAAAUAUAAAAGUAAUAUUUAUGUUCUUUAAAUAAAAUAUGAAACGAAAUUAAA